CGGACGGGUGAGUAAUGUCUGGGAAACUGCCCGAUGGAGGGGGAUAACUACUGGAAACGGUAGCUAAUACCGCAUAACGUCGCAAGACCAAAGAGGGGACCUUGGGCCUCUUGCCAUCGGAUGUGCCCAGAUGGGAUUAGCUAGUAGGUGGGGUAACGGCUCACCUAGGCGACGAUCCCUAGCUGGUCUGAGAGGAUGACCAGCCACACUGGAACUGAGACACGGUCCAG
rnacentral:rRNA from 1 species